rnacentral:rRNA from 1 species
UACGAAGGGUGCUAGCGUUGUUCGGAAUUACUGGGCGUAAAGCGCGCGCAGGCGGCCUUUCAAGUCAGGGGUGAAAGCCCGGAGCUCAACUCCGGAAUUGCCUUUGAAACUGUCAGGCUCGAGUACGGGAGAGGUGAGUGGAAUUCCCAGUGUAGAGGUGAAAUUCGUAGAUAUUGGGAAGAACACCGGUGGCGAAGGCGGCUCACUGGCCCGUUUCUGACGCUCAGGCGCGACAGCGUGGGGAUCAAACAGG